rnacentral:misc_RNA from 2 species
AACGCACAUUGCGCCCUUUAGUAUUCUGAAGGGCAUGCCUGUUCGAGCGUCAUUAUCACUAUUCAAGCCCGGCUUGCUGUUGGACACUUUGUCGUUAAAAGACAUGUCCCAAAGAUAAUGACGGUGUCUUUUGGACCCUAGAUGCAACGAGCUUUAACCAGCACGCAUUUUAGUUAAACCACUAGACCCGGUCUUUUUUAACCAAUUUCUCAGGUUGACCUCGGAUCAGGUAGGAAUACCCGCUGAACUUAA